rnacentral:rRNA from 1 species
GGAGGGUGCGAGCGUUAAUCGGAAUUACUGGGCGUAAAGAGCACGUAGGCGGCUUGGUCAGUCGGAUGUGAAAGCCCCGGGCUUAACCUGGGAAUUGCACUCGAUACUGCCAGGCUAGAGUUUAAUAGAGGAAUGCGGAAUUCCGGGUGUAGCGGUGAAAUGCGUAGAUAUCCGGAGGAACAUCAGUGGCGAAGGCGGCAUUCUGGGUUAAAACUGACGCUGAGGUGCGAAAGCGUGGGGAGCAAACAGGGAUUAGAUACCCUGGUAGUCCACGCCGUAAACGAUGUCAACUAGCCCGUUAGGAUUUUCUUAGUGGCGCAGCUAACGCGAUAAGUUGACCGCCUGGGGGAGUACGCCGGCAACGGUA